rnacentral:rRNA from 1 species
UACGUAGGGUGCGAGCGUUGUCCGGAAUUAUUGGGCGUAAAGGGCUCGUAGGCGGUUGGUCACGUCGGGAGUGAAAACUCAGGGCUCAACCCUGAGCGUGCUUCCGAUACGGGCCGACUAGAGGUAUGCAGGGGAGAACGGAAUUCCUGGUGUAGCGGUGGAAUGCGCAGAUAUCAGGAGGAACACCGGUGGCGAAGGCGGUUCUCUGGGCAUUACCUGACGCUGAGGAGCGAAAGCAUGGGGAGCGAACAGG